AUUGAACGCUGGCGGCAGGCCUAACACAUGCAAGUCGAGCGGAUGAGAGGAGCUUGCUUCUUGAUUCAGCGGCGGACGGGUGAGUAAUGCCUAGGAAUCUGCCUGGUAGUGGGGGACAACGUUUCGAAAGGAACGCUAAUACCGCAUACGUCCUACGGGAGAAAGCAGGGGACCUUCGGGCCUUGCGCUAUCAUAUGAGCCUAGGUCGGAUUAGCUAGUUGGUGAGGUAAUGGCUCUCCAAGGCGACGAUCCGUAACUGGUCUGAGAGGAUGAUCAGUCACACUGGAACUGAGACACGGUCCAGACUCCUACGGGAGGCAGCAGUGGGGAAUAUUGGACAAUGGGCGAAAGCCUGAUCCAGCCAUGCCGCGUGUGUGAAGAAGGUCUUCGGAUUGUAAAGCACUUUAAGUUGGGAGGAAGGGUUGUACGUUAAUACCGUGCAAUUUUGACGUUACCGACAGAAUAAGCACCGGCUAACUCUGUGCCAGCCGCCGCCGUAA
rnacentral:rRNA from 1 species